rnacentral:tRNA from 1 species
GUCUUUGUAGUAUAAAUAAUACUUUGGUCUUGUAAACCAAGAACGGAGAAUCAAUAUUUCCCCCUAAGACU